rnacentral:rRNA from 1 species
AUGAACGCUGGCGGCGUGCCUAAUACAUGCAAGUCGAGCGAACGGACGAGAAGCUUGCUUCUCUGAUGUUAGCGGCGGACGGGUGAGUAACACGUGGAUAACCUACCUAUAAGACUGGGAUAACUUCGGGAAACCGGAGCUAAUACCGGAUGAUAUUUUGAACCGCAUGGUUCAAAAGUGAAAGACGGUCCUGCUGUCACUUAUAGAUGGAUCCGCGCUGCAUUAGCUAGUUGGUAAGGUAACGGCUUACCAAGGCAACGAUGCAUAGCCAACCUGAGAGGGUGAUCGGCCACACUGGAACUGAGACACGGUCCAGACUCCUACGGGAGGCAGCAGUAGGGAAUCUUCCGCAAUGGGCGAAAGCCUGACGGAGCAACGCCGCGUGAGUGAUGAAGGUCUUCGGAUCGUAAAACUCUGUUAUUAGGGAAGAACAUAUGUGUAAGUAACUGUGCACAUCUUGACGGUACCUAAUCAGAAAGCCACGGCUAACUACGUG